GAUGAACGCUGGCGGCGUGCCUAAUACAUGCAAGUCGAGCGAACGGACGAGAAGCUUGCUUCUCUGAUGUUAGCGGCGGACGGGUGAGUAACACGUGGAUAACCUACCUAUAAGACUGGGAUAACUUCGGGAAACCGGAGCUAAUACCGGAUGAUAUUUUGAGCCGCAUGGUUCAAAAGUGAAAGACGGUCUUGCUGUCACUUAUAGAUGGAUCCGCGCUGCAUUAGCUAGUUGGUAAGGUAACGGCUUACCAAGGCAACGAUGCAUAGCCGACCUGAGAGGGUGAUCGGCCACACUGGAACUGAGACACGGUCCAGACUCCUACGGGAGGCAGCAGUAGGGAAUCUUCCGCAAUGGGCGAAAGCCUGACGGAGCAACGCCGCGUGAGUGAUGAAGGUCUUCGGAUCGUAAAACUCUGUUAUUAGGGAAGAACGUAUGUGUAAGUAACUGUGCACAUCUUGACGGUACCUAAUCAGAAAGCCACGGCUAACUACGUG
rnacentral:rRNA from 1 species